CAGCCCUAAACGAUGCGCGUUAGGUGUAUCGGUGACCACGAGUCACCGAGGUGCCGAAGGGAAACCGUGAAACGUGCCGCCUGGGAAGUACGGUCGCAAGGCUGAAACUUAAAGGAAUUGGCGGGGGAGCACCACAACGGGUGGAGCUUGCGGUUUAAUUGGAUUCAACGCCGGAAAUCUUACCGGGCCGACAGCAACAUGAAGGCCAGGCUGAAGACUUUGCCGGAUUAGCUGAGAGGAGGUGCAUGGCGUAGACGUCU
rnacentral:rRNA from 1 species